GACGAACGCUGGCGGCGUGCUUAACACAUGCAAGUCGAGCGAUGAAGCUCCUUCGGGAGCGGAUUAGCGGCGGACGGGUGAGUAACACGUGGGUAACCUGCCCCAUAGAGGGGAAUAGCCUUUCGAAAGGAAGAUUAAUACCGCAUAAGAUUGUAGUGCCGCAUGGCAUAGCAAUUAAAGGAGUAAUCCGCUAUGAGAUGGACCCGCGUCGCAUUAGCUAGUUGGUGAGGUAACGGCUCACCAAGGCGACGAUGCGUAGCCGACCUGAGAGGGUGAUCGGCCACAUUGGGACUGAGACACGGCCCAGACUCCUACGGGAGGCAGCAGUGGGGAAUAUUGCACAAAGGGGGAAACCCUGAUGCAGCAACGCCGCGUGAGUGAUGACGGUCUUCGGAUUGUAAAGCUCUGUCUUCAGGGACGAUAAUGACGGUACCUGAGGAGGAAGCCACGGCUAACUACGUGCCAGCCGCCGCGGUAA
rnacentral:rRNA from 1 species